UGGAAACACAAAAAUGCAGGCCCCACCCAGACCUGCUGAAUCAGAAUGUGCAUCUUGUAAGAUCCCCAAGUGAUUCAUAUGCACUUUGCACACUUUGCAUUUGAGAAGCAGCUGCUCUAAAUGAUCUUCUGAUAUAAACGGGGCAGUCAUUAUUGCCUCAGGAAUUGAAGCAGAAAUACAAACCCACCCCCACCCUGCCCCAAAUUACCUUUCUCACUAGUAUCAGAACAUCAGUUAGAGAUUCACGCUUUUAGAUCAUCGAUCCUCUUCUUUUGUCUAAACAGGUCUAUUUUUUAUUAAAAUUCAAAUAUUCCCAGCCAGGCGCAGUGGUUCACGCCUGUAAUCCUAGCACUUUGGGAAGCCAAGGCAGGCGGAUCACCUGAGAUGAGGAGUUCGAGACCAGCCUGGCCAACACGGAGAAACUCUGUCUCUACUAAAAAUACAAAAAUUAGCUGGUUGUGGUGGUGCACACCUGUACUCCCAGCUACUCAGGAGGCUGAGGCAGGAGAAUCACUUGAACCUGGGAGGCAGAGGUUGCAGUGAGCCGAGAUAGUGCCACUGCACUCCAGCCUGGGUGACAGAGCAGGACUCCAUCUCAAAAAAUAAUAAUAAUAAAAAAAUUCGUAUGUUCCUUGUGAGGGAGAACAUAUGGGAUCCCUCAGUAACAAGGUUAAAAAAUUUUUUUAUUGAGCUCAUAUUAGUUGCCACAUAUCCGAGAUACUUGGGGUAAAUGUAUUUGGUGUAAACGAAUUACUUUUCCCUGGAGACAAGAAAGCCAAGUGUUAAGAGAACAGCAGCCUUCUUUUUGGGGGAAAGGAUUAUUCAAGGGACAGAAGAGAGGGAACAUCCAAGACAAACAAGUAUGACCUUCCACUCCAUCCUGAAGAAACUUGUCUCUCAGAGCUUUCCAAGUUGUGGAGAUGAUGAUUCCAUUUCCAUUCAAAAUCAUCCUCUGUCAUUUCAACUUAACGGGAAAAACCAAUGGCAUUUUGAAGACAAGAUGUCUGGGUGCAUGUUUAUUUUUAGAAGGAGACAGACCACAGCACAUUCAUUCUGCAAGAAAGAAGCAAGUCCUGGCUCUGCAUACUGAAUCAGUGAGCAAUACCUCAAAAGUGGAAAGAUUAAACUCUCCAAAGAAUGGGGGCAGUGGCCUCAGCUUAUUUAUUUUCUCCCAGGAAACAGCACAGCACUGGGUAUGCCAGAACUGCAGAAGCAGCACCAUAAUAAACAAACUGUCUUCUCAAGCCUUCUGACUCUGUUUGGGUACCCAUGAAUGAAUAGUAUCUAUUUCAAUUCCUAAAAUGUAUGAUUCAUGAUGACUUGUUUGUAUUUGCCUUUCAUUUUCACUGUAACUGAAUGAGACCAUCCUUCAGGUACUAAGGUAGAAUCAUCUUUGUGACUUAAUAAUGGUAAUAAUCACAGAGACCAAGUCAUUACUCUCUGCCAGGUAUUGUGACACAUGCUUUUGAAGUUGGGAGACAAUGCUCCAUGGGUCACUCACAUUGUUGCAAGUGAUUCCAGCAGAGGCAUUGACUGUCUUUAUUCUGGAUUAUUUUUUUCAAAAUGUUUGUACACCAAACAGCUUUGUGAGAUUGAUACAGUGUCUCCCUCCAGAGCUAGGAGUGUAUAUGCUUACUGUCCAGUACAAUAAACAUAAUAUCUCACUCUGGAGGAAUGGACAGUAUGGUUACCACCUGUUACAAAAUAUUCAGUUUUCCUAAGUUCAGCAUUCUUCUGUAACAGAGCCCAUCAUGUGGACAGGUAUUUCUUGGCCUUUUUGUGUUGCCCUGCGGGAACUGGGACUUGGGGACUAGUACAAGAGAAUGCUCAU
rnacentral:lncRNA from 1 species